UAGCAGAGUCAGGAAUCCAGGAACACAAGCGGCUAUCAAGAACCUUAGCAGGACACAAGGACCUUGACACUGAGGCAUCUGGGAAGGGGGCUGAGCCACUCAUAUACGUGCAGAAGCGCUAGGAUUGGUUGGCGCGGUCACAUGAUCCAACCCAUAAAACACAGGAAGUGAAGCACGCCGGCCCUUAAGGAAAUGCUGCAGGAAACAAGCAGCAAGCAUGCUGUGGCCAGGGCUGAAAGGA